CAGGAGUGGAGCCUGCGGCUUA
rnacentral:ncRNA from 3 species